CGGUGUGAAAAACUCCGGUGGUAUGAGAUGGACCCGCGUCUGAUUAGCUAGUUGGUGGGGUAACGGCCCACCAAGGCGACGAUCAGUAGCCGGCCUGAGAGGGUGGACGGCCACAUUGGGACUGAGACACGGCCCAAACUCCUACGGGAGGCAGCAGUGGGGAAUAUUGCACAAUGGGGGAAACCCUGAUGCAGCAACGCCGCGUGAGUGAAGAAGUAUUUCGGUAUGUAAAGCUCUAUCAGCAGGGAAGAAAAUGACGGUACCUGACUAAGAAGCCCCGGCUAACUACGUGCCAGCAGCCGCGGUAAUACGUAGGGGGCAAGCGUUAUCCGGAUUUACUGGGUGUAAAGGGAGCGCAGACGGCUGUGCAAGUCUGGAGUGAAAGGCGGGGGCCCAACCCCCGGACUGCUCUGGAAACUGUAAAGCUGGAGUGCAGGAGAGGUAAGCGGAAUUCCUAGUGUAGCGGUGAAAUGCGUAGAUAUUAGGAGGAACACCAGUGGCGAAGGCGGCUUACUGGACUGCAACUGACGUUGAGGCUCGAAAGCGUGGGGAGCAAACAGGAUUAGAUACCCUGGUAGUCCACGCCGUAAACGAUGAUUACUAGGUGUCGGGGGGUAAGGCCCGCCGGUGCCGCAGCAAACGC
rnacentral:rRNA from 1 species